rnacentral:rRNA from 1 species
AACGAACGCUGGCGGCAUGCCUAACACAUGCCAGUCGAACGAGACCUUCGGGUCUAGUGGCGCACGGGUGCGUAACGCGUGGGAACCUGCCCUUAGGUUCGGAAUAACUCCCCGAAAGGGGUGCUAAUACCGGAUAAUGUCUUCGGACCAAAGAUUUAUCGCCUUUGGAUGGGCCCGCGUUGGAUUAGCUAGUUGGUAGGGUAAAAGCCUACCAAGGCGACGAUCCAUAGCUGGUCUGAGAGGAUGAUCAGCCACACUGGGACUGAGACACGGCCCAGACUCCUACGGGAGGCAGCAGUGGGGAAUAUUGGACAAUGGGCGAAAGCCUGAUCCAGCAAUGCCGGGGGAGUGAUGAAGGCCGUAGGGUUGUAAAGCUCUUUUACCCGGGAUGAUAAUGACAGUACCGGGAGAAUAAGCUCCGGCUAACUCCGUG